rnacentral:rRNA from 1 species
UACGUAGGCAGCGAGCGUUGUUCGGAAUUACUGGGCGUAAAGCGUGCGUAGGCGGUGCCUCAAGUUUGGUGUGAAAUCUCCCGGCUCAACCGGGAGGGUGCGCCGAAAACUGAGGUGCUCGAGUGUGGGAGAGGUAAGCGGAAUUCCUGGUGUAGCGGUGAAAUGCGUAGAUAUCAGGAGGAACACCGGCGGUGUAGACGGCUUACUGGACCAUAACUGACGCUGAGGCACGAAAGCGUGGGGAGCAAACAGG